CAGGCGCGCAAAUUACCCACUCGCGACACGCGGAGGUAGUGACGAAAAAUAACGAUACGGGACUCAUUCGAGGCCCCGUAAUCGGAAUGAGUACACUUUAAAUCCUUUUAACGAGGAUCCAUUGGAGGGCAAGUCUGGUGCCAGCAGCCGCGGUAAUUCCAGCUCCAAUAGCGUAUAUUAAAGUUGUUGCAGUUAAAAAGCUCGUAGUUGGAUCUCGGGUCCGAGCUCGCGGUUCGGCUCGCGCCGAUCACUGCCCGUCUCGGACCUCACCUGCCGGUGCUCGUGCGGGGUGCUCUUCGCCGGGUGCUCCGCGUGGCCGGCACGUUUACUUUGAAAAAUUAGAGUGCUCAAAGCAGGCGGUCUGCCUGAAUAAUCGCGCAUGGAAUAAUGGAAUAGGACCUCGGUUCUAUUUUGUUGGUUUUCGGAACUCGAGGUAAUGAUUAAGAGGGACAGACGGG
rnacentral:rRNA from 1 species